UACAGAGGUCUCAAGCGUUGUUCGGAAUUACUGGGCGUAAAGGGCGCGUAGGCGGCCUGUUAAGUCGAACGUGAAAUCCCCGGGCUCAACCCGGGAACUGCGUCCGAUACUGGCAGGCUUGAAUUCGGGAGAGGGAUGCGGAAUUCCAGGUGUAGCGGUGAAAUGCGUAGAUAUCUGGAGGAACACCGGUGGCGAAGGCGGCAUCCUGGACCGAGAUUGACGCUGAGGCGCGAAAGCCAGGGGAGCAAACGGG
rnacentral:rRNA from 1 species